CCCCUUUUCACUCAGCUCUGCAUCGAACCAGCCACAGAAACGGUUCUCCUGGUUCCAUGUGCUCUCGCCGUGCCGGACCAUCACGAGGCGCCAGGCUAGGAGGCGGCCCUCAGCAGGCAGAGGAGGAGAGCCAGAGGAGCUGGUGCAGACCACAGCUUUGUGGAGAGGAGUCUGGCCUUGUGGAAGCCACCAAUCCUGGACAGAUGCAGGAGCAGCUGUCAGUAGACAGAUAAGAAAAGGAGAUCAGAUUCAAAGUUCCGCAGAGAAGUGGUGAGGUAACAAGUAUUGCCUAGCCUGGACACACAGGCGGCUUGAAACCUCAAGUGCACCAACAGAAAGAGCUCCAGGAAGAAUCAGAGGAGUGGGAUGUGAAGCCCCUCGAAGUCAGUGAGUUGGGGGAAUCCCUCCAAUUUUUCUUUUCUUCUCUACCCCAGCUCCUGGGCAGUAACAUGGAGGUGGCAGUGGUGGCACAGUGACGGUAGUGUGAGCUGGGUACGCACUUGAAACCUGAGAGGGUAACGCUACCCUCUGUCUAGAGGAGCCAUGGCCCCAAAAGCAUGGGGCAACCACCUUCUGCAGCUCCUUUCUGCCCCCCUGCGCUGGGCCCUGGAUGCAGUUUCAGGGAGUAUGCAGCAGGGUAGGUAGGGAAAGAGCCCCAGAUUUGUGGCUGGAGGUCUUGGUAGGGAUGUUGCAGGGAGCUGUUGUGUUUCAGGGAGAGUACAGAGAAGGGAGAGAUGAAGUGAGUGAUCCGAUAAAGUGAUAUGUGAAGUCAUUGGCUUGCUGCCAAGCUGCGCACAGGGCUGACCCUAGAUGCACAUUGCAGGUCCCAGACUGACCGGUGUAGAUACAGGACUAAUAUGACUAGUAGUGCAAACACUUUAAACAGUCAACAUUCUGCUUAGGAUUUAAACAAGGUCCAGAGUCUCAACAUAAUAUUUAAAAUAUCCAGGUUAUCCAAAAUAACCCAGUGUAUGAAAACCAGGAAAAUCUUAACAUGGGAGAAAAGAAGAUGAUCAAUACAUGCCCAUCCUGAGAUGAUUCAACUAUUGGAAUGAUCAGAUACAGACUUCAAAGCAGCUAUUUAUAACCAGCCUUCAGAAAGUAUUGGUGAAUAUUCUUAAACAGAAUGGAAAUGACAAAGCAUGGAGUCCAUAAAUUAGAUGAUAGUUUGGAAAAAGAUAUAAACUUACAAACCAAGAAGCUCAGUGAACCACACAACUGGAUAAAUUAACAACAAAAGUCCAAGCUUAGACACAUCAUAAAGAAACUUCUGAAAACUAAAGACCAAGAAAAAUAAGAUCAGCCAGAGAAAAACGAUACAUUUCAUUCAGGUGAACAAUUCUUUGAAAGACUGGAUCUUCACCAGAAACUAUAGAGGCCAGAAAGAAGUGGAACAUUUUUAGUUUUGAAAUAACUGUCACCCAAGAAUUCUAUAUCCAGUAAAAAUUUCUAUUUUACUGGAAUAAAAGAAUGAAAUAAAGACAUUCUCAAAUGAAGGCAAGCUGAGGAAAUUCAUAACCAAAGAAUCUGCUUUAAAAAAAUGUUAAACCAAGUUCUUCAGACAGAAGAGAUUACUGGGGGCAAUUCAAAACUUUGGGAAUGCAGGAAGAACAUCAUAAAUGGCAAAAGUCCACAUAAAUAUGAAACUAUUCUUUACUUCU
rnacentral:lncRNA from 1 species